GACGAACGCUGGCGGCGUGCUUAACACAUGCGAGUCGAACGGAAAGGCCCUGCUUUUGUGGGGUGCUCGAGUGGCGAACGGGUGAGUAACACGUGAGUAACCUGCCCUUGACUUUGGGAUAACUUCAGGAAACUGGGGCUAAUACCGGAUAGGAGCUCCUGCUGCAUGGUGGGGGUUGGAAAGUUUCGGCGGUUGGGGAUGGACUCGCGGCUUAUCAGCUUGUUGGUGGGGUAGUGGCUUACCAAGGCUUUGACGGGUAGCCGGCCUGAGAGGGUGACCGGCCACAUUGGGACGGAGAUACGGCCCAGACUCCUCCGGGAGGCAGCAGUGGGGAAUAUUGCACAAUGGGCGGAAGCCUGAUGCAGCAACGCCGCGUGCGGGAUGACGGCCUUCGGGUUGUAAACCGCUUUCGCCUGUGACGAAGCGUGAGUGACGGUAAUGGGUAAAGAAGCACCGGCUAACUACGUG
rnacentral:rRNA from 1 species